AACUAGCUAGCUCAGAUGGUAGAGCAACUCGACUCGUGUGUUGAGUAGAUCCCAGGUUCAAUCCCUGGUCUAGUUC
rnacentral:tRNA from 1 species